rnacentral:sRNA from 1 species
UGGGGAUUACUGAAGAAGAAAGAGAAAGCCCCUGUCCUGGAAGAGCUUAGACUUAGUUGGGAAAACUAUACUAACAUUGAAAUACUUAACACUUGGCAAACAGAAUAUCAACAAUGUAAUUUAACCUAAUAUGAACCAAACUCUUACAUGCUAAGAGAAUGUGAAACAAAAGUUUAAUCAGAGUGGGAUAAGGUUAUAAUGAGGAAAACUUCUUGGAGGAGGUGAGUUUUAGGCAGGAUUUGGAACAGGGGUUGUGGAAAAGUUGAGAGAAAUCAUUAUAAAUGUGGGCAGUAGCAUUUGCAAAGACCUUGAGAUGGGAACAUUUAUAAGAACAUGGGAAUGAAAUUUGUUUGACUGGAUUAGGAGAAUGUUGAAGUUGGGUGAGAUGGUCCACUUGGUGGAGAGUCUAGUAGACCCUGCUUCUGGCAGGUGGCUAUUUGCAAGGUUGUGUCAUAUUCCCCUGGGAAUAGCCAGAAAAUGCUGGUAGGGGCUAGGAUAAUUCUUCCCUUCUCCCCACGGGGAAGGAUACAGCUUUUCUUUCAUCUUGGGUUCCCUUAGGAGGUGUUUGGUGAUGACUCUGAGAUCUCUAAAGAAUCAUCAGGAGUAAAGAAGCGACGAAUACCCCGUUUUGAGGAGGUGGAAGAAGAGCCAGAGGUGAUCCCUGGGCCUCCAUCAGAGAGCCCUGGCAUGCUGACUAAGCUCCAGAUCAAACAGAUGAUGGAGGCAGCAACACGACAAAUCGAGGAGAGGAAAAAACAGCUGAGCUUCAUUAGCCCCCCUACACCUCAGCCAAAGACUCCUUCUUCCUCCCAACCAGAGCGACUUCCAAUUGGCAACACUAUUCAGCCCUCCCAGGCUGCCACUUUCAUGAACGAUGCCAUUGAGAAGGCAAGGAAAGCAGCUGAACUACAAGCUCGAAUCCAAGCCCAGCUGGCACUGAAGCCAGGACUCAUCGGCAAUGCCAACAUGGUGGGCCUGGCUAAUCUCCAUGCCAUGGGCAUUGCUCCCCCGAAGGUGGAGUUAAAAGACCAAACAAAACCUACACCACUGAUCCUGGAUGAGCAAGGGCGCACUGUAGAUGCAACAGGCAAGGAGAUUGAGCUGACACACCGCAUGCCUACUCUGAAAGCCAAUAUUCGUGCUGUGAAGAGGGAACAAUUCAAGCAACAACUAAAGGAAAAGCCAUCAGAAGACAUGGAAUCCAAUACCUUUUUUGACCCCCGAGUCUCCAUUGCCCCUUCCCAGCGCCAGAGACGCACUUUUAAAUUCCAUGACAAGGGCAAAUUUGAGAAGAUUGCUCAGCGAUUACGGACAAAGGCUCAACUGGAGAAGCUACAGGCAGAGAUUUCACAAGCAGCUCGAAAAACAGGCAUCCAUACUUCGACUAGGCUUGCCCUCAUUGCUCCUAAGAAGGAGCUAAAGGAAGGAGAUAUUCCUGAAAUUGAGUGGUGGGACUCUUACAUAAUCCCCAAUGGCUUUGAUCUUACAGAGGAAAAUCCCAAGAGAGAAGAUUAUUUUGGAAUCACAAAUCUUGUUGAACAUCCAGCCCAGCUCAAUCCUCCAGUUGACAAUGACACACCAGUUACUCUGGGAGUGUAUCUUACCAAGAAGGAACAGAAAAAACUUCGGAGACAAACAAGGAGGGAAGCACAGAAGGAACUACAAGAAAAAGUCAGGCUGGGCCUGAUGCCUCCUCCAGAACCCAAAGUGAGAAUUUCUAAUUUGAUGCGAGUAUUAGGAACAGAAGCUGUUCAAGACCCCACGAAGGUAGAAGCCCACGUCAGAGCUCAGAUGGCAAAAAGACAGAACCCUGCCUCUGAUCUUCAAUGCCUUUCUCACUUGUGGAUGUCCUUCCUGUCACGACAGAGCGCAUGAAGAGGCCAAUGCUGCCCGAAAACUCACAGCAGAACAGAGAAAGGUCAAGAAAAUUAAAAAGCUUAAAGAAGACAUUUCACAGGGGGUACACAUAUCUGUAUAUAGAGUUCGAAAUUUGAGCAACCCAGCCAAGAAGUUCAAGAUUGAAGCCAAUGCUGGGCAACUGUACCUGACAGGGGUGGUGGUACUGCACAAGGAUGUCAACGUGGUAGUAGUGGAAGGGGGCCCCAAGGCCCAGAAGAAAUUUAAGCGUCUUAUGCUGCAUCGGAUAAAGUGGGAUGAACAGACAUCUAACACGAAGGGAGAUGAUGAUGAGGAGUCUGAUGAGGAAGCUGUGAAGAAAACCAACAAAUGUGUACUAGUCUGGGAGGGUACAGCCAAAGACCGGAGCUUUGGAGAGAUGAAGUUUAAACAGUGUCCUACAGAGAACAUGGCUCGUGAGCAUUUCAAAAAGCAUGGGGCUGAACACUACUGGGACCUUGCGCUGAGUGAAUCUGUGUUAGAGUCCACUGAUUGAGACUACUGCAAGCCCUUGCCUCUCCCCUCUUGCCUUUGUCUCUUCAGUCCUCUCACUUAUUCUAUUUCCCAACCCACUCCCACUUGUUUGUGUGAUCUCAGAACUGUGCCAAGCAGACAUUGGGACAAAGGGAGAGUAUCUUGCUCCCCUCCCGAGUCAGCCUGGUGUUGCCCUUUAUUCCCCUUAUGUGCAUAUGAUUAAAGAGUUAUUUUUAAA